CUUUUGAAGGCAUUUGGAAUUUACAAAAUUUUCGGGGGUAUUUGUAAUAAAACGAAAUUUCAGGGGCCAUAAAAAAAGUUCAGGGGACAUCUGUAAUAAACAAAACUUUAGGAAACAUUUGGAAUAAACAAUAGUUCGUGGAAAAUGUUGUAGUUUGCAUUAAAUAUCGGGGCAGACGAAAAGAUAUAAGCGUAACCUUAUCCCUUUAUCCACAUGGUGGCCAGUAAAUGACUCAUGUCCUUGAGCUAUAGCCACACUGGAGUGUGCUUCCCUUCCCAUUAACUCUAAAUAGUCGUCUUUCUUAAGUAAUGGUGAUGGCGAAGAGACAACAAGUUUUGAAAGAGAUCAAAAACAAGACAGAUGAGAUAGAUGAUGAGGUUGUCCAUCUCAGCUUAGCUUCCAGAUAUCGCCAAAACCGAACGAGUUUCGUUGAAUGAAAAAACGAUGGUGAGUGAUAUCUUGUCAUAAGCACGGGCAAAGCUAACGAUGCACUCACUAUCAAGAAGCUUCCAAACAAUUGUUGCUUAUACUGGUAAGCUAUUUUUGGUAAAGUACCACAAGUUUAGCCCCUUAUUUGAUAGAUGUAAGUCGCACAGUUUUUAGUCUUUUGGACCCAAUCUAGUUUC